UCUGGGCACAGUGGUGUAUGCCUGAAAUCCCAGCUGCUUGGAAGGCUGAGGCAGGAAGAUCUCAAGUUCAAAGCUAGCCUCAGCAACUUAGCGAAGCCCUGUCUCAAU
rnacentral:sRNA from 1 species